rnacentral:lncRNA from 1 species
AUGGAUAAGCUUAGAUUAACAAGGAACUGGGGACAGAGAAAAAAAGGAACCAAAACCAAGAGAUGUGUGAACUGCUGCCUGCUUAAGAGCAGUUUCCUGUCUCUGUAUCUGAUCAAGCAGAAGCAGACGCUUUUCUUAGAAGCAGAUACGGGUUACACUGCCCAUGGCAUAACGGCAACCACUGCACGGGGACACGUGGCUGCCAAGGAUAGCUGUAAUCCAAUACCAUCCUCCUAGGCAAAACCAGCAGGUGUGCUCAGUAGCAGAGAGAAAACCUGGGAAUUUGUCGGAUCAUGCAUUCAGGUAAGAAAAAUCAUCUUGCAUUACAAAGUCCUAUUUAUCAGAAAAACAACUCAGCAAGAAAGUGUGAUAUGAACCAGUUCUUUUGAAAUAAGGCCCAAGCAAUUUGAGUGAAAUGUGUCAUAAUCAGGGCAAAGUGGUGCUUUCUGCUUUUAUAUCUCUGUGCAAGAAACUGCAGCGUGCAUUGUGGUAAGCUUCAUUUGCUGUCUGUUUGACACACUUAAGUAUAGGUCAUCAAUACGUGCCAGAAUGACACACUUCUCAUUAUUACCAUCAUUGAAAGCAUGUCCUCAUGUAAGGACCAUGAAUGUGUCACAAAUGGAUUACCUGGGCGAUGCUACACAGCCUCCAGGGCUGCAUCUGUAGGAACUAGUGAACAUACUGGUUAAGAAGAAAAGAUAGCAAUGAGGUACAGUGACUUGUGAAUAUGAAGAACAGAAAAAACUUUCUGAGGUGACAAUUUUCAUGUGGUUCCAACUCACUUUGAAUUUCAUUUUUAGUGUCCCAGCCUACCAUUAGCCAAUUACGCCUUCAGAUACUCAUUCCUUAAGGCAGAUGGCAGAAGAGCAGAGCAAAAUCUUGCCCCAAAGAACAUGUGGUUUAUUCAGAUAAGAGCAAUAUAAGGACAAGUGUUUUACCUUAUGAUCAGUAAGAUCAACAGAACAAAACUCUUAGAAAUUAGAAGCAAUGAGCUGAAAUGAAAAAGUUGAAAAAAUCCCAGAUGGUAUGAGAAAGUUGGCAUGUUGGUCUAAAAGUAGAUACAAAAGAAGCUGUUGAGAGUAAUGAGAGAAGUUGGGAGCUUGUAAGGAUGGUGAGUCUGUAAUACAACAAGUUAACUAACAAAGAGAGUUUAUGGGGGAGGGAGAAGGAAUUCCAGUUUCUCAGUCACGAGAUGAGGAAACACUGCCUCAUACACUUGCUGCAUUACACACAUGCUUCUGAAAGGGCACGUUUCCCUUUUAGACAUGAAGAGACCUGUCAUAGGAAAAGAGAUGCUAAAGUGUGAUUAGGAGAAGAGGUAGGUAUUUUAUCUUUGAUUCAUCUGGUCUGUCUGCAUACAUUUGAUUUCUUUUUGGUGAGAAGUGGGUCACAAAACCGUGGGAUCCAAUUUCUAGAGCUAGAUUUUUAUUUUGUGAUACUUAUCUGUACUGAUAAGCUUACAAUGCCCUAUUUACUGCGUGGUUUUGUGAAACCAAGCUGAAAUGCAGACAUUUUAUGUUUGUCUUCAAUACAGACACUGCAUUUUUUUUAAUUAGUCAUUAUGUUGAUAAAGUUCCUCAAUUGACCAAAUUGGCAAGUCCUUCUCAGGAAUUUUCCUUGGCUUUCAUGCUUGUGAAUGAGUUUAGCUCUAGCUGAUAAAUUAGGCAACUUGAUCAAAUAAGGCACUGGCAGGUAGAAUUGAAUAUGUGCUUUCUGGGUAGUUUUGUAAUUGCUCCUUUUUUUAAUGAAUAAUAAUGAAAGGGGCUCUUUUUUUGUGGACAAGAGAUCCAUAUAAUAACCUCUCAGGACAGGCAAUGAACCUGUUUGGGUUUUUCUGAUAAAGCCACAAACAUCAAACCUAUAAAAGGCUGAAUUUUUCUUACCACGUGGCAAGGCUUCUGGACACAAGAUGUAGUCCAUUGGAGUUUUUUCCCGUGUGGGAACAGUUGCAGAUGUGCUAUCUUGUAGCCACUCAUUCUUCAGCCUCUUCACCUCCUUUGCUGCAGUCCAGGCUCAAAGCACAGAUGAGCAAUCACAGCACUCUCUCAAGCAGUAUAUUUGGCAGUAUAACUGAACUGCAACCAAUAUUUUCCGUUCUUGUAUUUCCUGAACGUAACAAUUAGUUCGCUAGAGAAGGGAACUGCUGAGUGUCAGAGCUGUGACACAAUCAGUGAGUUCCAGGUGUCUCACAAUUACACUUAUGCACCCUUUCUUACUGAAAGGUCAGCUCUUCUACGUGUGUCUAAGGCUCACUCACGCAACUCCUCCAGUCCCACUGCUUUACUCAGGGCUGCCCUUUUACUGAUAUUUUCAUGUUGAAGCUGUUGAUAACCACAGUCCUGGAAGUGACUAAGUUUAAUUGCUAAUGGCUUUAUAAGCUCAUGUAUCACAGCUGCAAUUUUUAGAGGGAAGAAGUGUAAAUGAAAAACUGUACUCGGUCUCCACCUCACAUGUUUAAAGGGACACCCAGCAGAUUGUCAUGUGCAUGCAGGAACCCAAUAGCCUGACAGGUUUCACACAAAGGUUUCUGGAACAUGCAGUAAGUCUUGCUGGAACAGCACAGUUAAUGGCAAGUUUGUGUGGGAUCACAUACAAA